CGUACGAUACGAGUUUCAUCAUGGCUCAGAACGAACGCUGGCGGCAGGCCUAACACAUGCAAGUCGAGCGAGGGAGCAAUCCCUAGCGGCGGACGGGUGAGUAACGCGUGGGAACGUGCCCCUUGGUACGGAAUAGCCCCGGGAAACUGGGAGUAAUACCGUAUGUGGUCGAGAGACGAAAGAUUUAUCGCCAAGGGAUCGGCCCGCGUUGGAUUAGGUAGUUGGUGGGGUAAUGGCCUACCAAGCCGACGAUCCAUAGCUGGUUUGAGAGGAUGAUCAGCCACACUGGGACUGAGACACGGCCCAGACUCCUACGGGAGGCAGCAGUGGGGAAUCUUAGACAAUGGGCGCAAGCCUGAUCUAGCCAUGCCGCGUGAGCGAUGAAGGCCUUAGGGUUGUAAAGCUCUUUCGUGGGGGAAGAUAAUGACUGUACCCCAAGAAGAAGCCCCGGCUAACUCCGUG
rnacentral:rRNA from 1 species